rnacentral:rRNA from 1 species
UACAGAGGGGGCAAGCGUUAUUCGGAAUUAUUGGGCGUAAAGGGCGCGUAGGCGGCUUGGCAAGUGGAUGGUGAAAUCCCUCGGCUUAACCGAGGAACUGCCGUCCAAACUGCUUAGCUUGAGACCGGGAGAGGUGAGUGGAAUUCCCAGUGUAGCGGUGAAAUGCGUAGAUAUUGGGAGGAACACCAGUGGCGAAGGCGGCUCACUGGACCGGUACUGACGCUGAGGCGCGAAAGCGUGGGGAGCGAUCCGG